rnacentral:rRNA from 1 species
GACGAACGCUGGCGGCGUGCUUAACACAUGCAAGUCGAACGGUGAAGCGCCUUCCUUUUUGGUGGGUGUGGAUGAGUGGCGAACGGGUGAGUAACACGUGAGUAACCUGCCCCCUUCUUCUGGAUAACCGCAUGAAAGUGUGGCUAAUACGGGAUAUUCUGGGUCUGUCGCAUGAUGGGUCUGGGAAAGAUAUUGUUUCGGUGGGGGAUGGGCUCGCGGCCUAUCAGCUUGUUGGUGGGGUGAUGGCCUACCAAGGCGGUGACGGGUAGCCGGCCUGAGAGGGUGGCCGGUCACACGGGGACUGAGACACGGCCCGGACUCCUACGGGGGGCAGCAGUGGGGAAUAUUGCACAAUGGGCGCAAGCCUGAUGCAGCGACGCCGCGUGAGGGAUGGAGGCCUUCGGGUUGUGAACCUCUUUCGCCAGUGAAGCAGGCCUGCCUCGUUUGUGGGUGGGUUGACGGUAGCUGGAUAAGAAGCGCCGGCUAACUACGUG